UGGGGAAUAUUGCACAAUGGGCGCAAGCCUGAUGCAGCAACGCCGCGUGAACGAUGAAGGUCUUCGGAUCGUAAAGUUCUGUUGCAGGGGAAGAUAAUGACGGUACCCUGUGAGGAAGCCCCGGCUAACUACGUGCCAGCAGCCGCGGUAAUACGUAGGGGGCUAGCGUUAUCCGGAUUUACUGGGCGUAAAUGGUGCGUAGGUGGUCUUUCAAGUCGGUGGUUAAAGGCUACGGCUCAACCGUAGUUAGCCUCCGAAACUGGAAGACUUGAGUGCAGGAGAGGAAAGUGGAAUUCCCAGUGUAGCGGUGAAAUGCGUAGAUAUUGGGAGGAACACCAGUAGCGAAGGCGGCUUUCUGGACUGCAACUGACACUGAGGCACGAAAGCGUGGGUAGCAAACAGG
rnacentral:rRNA from 1 species